UUUAAGAAUGGAAAUUUUUAGAACCAUAGCAAUAAGAGGCUUUUCAGUCAUUUCAUUGUCCUGGCAGAAGUUGUUAUAAUCUGUGAGAAUUUGAAACUUGAGUACGCCAUUUUGUUGCUCAUUCUAUAUUGAGGCCACUUUUUUUUCUUUAAGACAGCAAGACUUGCCGGGCGUGGUGGCGCACGCCUUUAAUCCCAGCACUCAGGAGGCAGAGGCAGGUGGAUUUCUGAGUUCGAGGCCAGCCUAGUCUACAAAGUGAGUUCCAGGACAGCCAGGGCUACACGGAGAAACCCUGUCUCGAAAAACCAAAAAAAAAAAAAAUAAAAAAAAAAGACAGCAAGACUUUAAGAAAAUCUGUGAGUUGAGAAAUGAUUUGAGUCCCUGGAAAAAAGGUGGAAGGGUCUCAAAAAUAACUCCACCCCAGGGAGGGUUAGGUAGCUAAGAGACCAGUGAGCCACAGGGACAAGGGGACAAGAAGGGAGGGACAACUAGAGCUCCAGAGUCCAUGGUUGCAGUUGUAGAGGCUUUGGGCAUUGCAGCUAGGCGGAGGGAGGUAAGGAAGUGUCAGGCCCAGGAGGGCACAAGGAGAGGUGGAGCGGGCCAGGAGUCUUUUCUGGGCCAGGAGAGAUGGCUCAGUAGAUGGGAGCAGUGGCUAUUCUUUCAGAGGACCCAGGUUCAAUUCCUAGAACCCACUUGGUAGAUCCCAACUGUCUGUAACUCCAGCUCCAUAUGAUAUCCUCCUUUGGCCCCCUCAGGCACAAUGUCCUUGUGAUUUGUGUCACAAGACUCAUUACACACACAUACGUCUAUUCAUUCGACAUAGGGAGCCCAGGCCGGACCAAAGUACACAUACCAUGAACAAAGUUCAACUUGUUGAACCAGUGAGGUGUUUUUUUGAAAUUUAUUUAUUUUAUGUAUAUGAGUACAUUGUAGCUGUCUUCAGACACACCAGAAGAGGGCAUUGGAUCCCACUACAGACGGUUGUGAGCUACCAUGUAGUUCCUGGGAAUUGAACUCAGGACCUCUGGAAGAGCAGUCAUUGCUCUUAACUGCUGAGCCAUCUCUCCAGUCUGAUCCAAUGAAUUUUAUUGGGGUUAAUUACAGAAGUAGAGAUGACUCAAUGACAGCUGAAUCACCCAAAACCCACUCCAGCAUGGGUGACAGCUCACCAAAUCUGGAAACCUAGAGCACACUACAGGCAGCUAAACAGUUUGGGGUGUUCUUUCUAUGUGGGCCUGUUGAUCUAACCUUCUUCCAGGCUGCUCUGCUGGUUUCUGCUUCUUAGGAUGCUUGGCUGAUCCUUUCUGUUUGCAGCUUGACUUAUCUUGACUCACUCUUAGCCCUUACGAUUGUUUCCUCUUAGGAAGGAGGGAUCUAGUGAGUUUGUUCAGUUUCAGGGACUUCCUAAAGCUAUUUUUGAAUUAUUUUCUAACUUGCACGAAGAGCUUCCCUGAAUGAUGGGAUGCCUUGAUCUUGGAGAAAACUGCUAUACAACAGUGUGGUACACAGACAUACAUGUUGGCAUAACACUCAUAGACAGGAAAUAAAUGUAAAUAAAUCUAAAGAAAAAGGAAAAUAUCUUCAACCUAUUACAAAGUGUACUGGCUGGUUUUGUGUGUCAAUUUGACACAGCUGGAGUUAUCACAGAGAAAGGAGCUUCAGUUGAUUAAAUGCCUCCAUGAGAUCAAACUGUAAGGCAUUUUCUCAAUUAGUGAUCAAGGGGGAAAGGCCCCUUGUGGGUGGGACCAUCUCAGGGCUGGUAAUCUUGGUUCUGUAAGAGAGCACGCUGUGCAAACCAGGGGAAGCAAGCCAGUAAGGAACAUCUCUCCAUCUCUCCAUCAGCUCCUGCUUUCUGACCUGCUUGAGUUCCAGUCCUGACUUCCUUGGUGAUGAACAGCAGUAUGAAAGCAUAAGCCGAAUAAACCCUUUCCUCCCCAUCUUGCUUCUUGGUCAUGAUGUUUGUGCAGGAAUAGAAACCCUGACUAAGACAAAAAGUUAUCUUUUAACUAUUGCUAUAAUAUUGAAGGCUCCUGGGAAUUUGAUAACUUGUUGGUCAUGGCCAUGUGAGCAGCUCUUUUUCUGAAUAUUGUCACCUUUAUCUUUUGUUUUAUUUUUACCCAGAACAAGAUGUAGGGGAGCAGUUAUGGUCAGGGUGUUCUGGUACGGUUAGGAAGCAUGAGAAAGGAACUUGAAUGGCUGAAGUGAGUUCCAGAACAGCCAGGGAUACACAGAGAAACCCUGUCUGGGAAAAACCGAAAAAAGACC
rnacentral:lncRNA from 1 species